AGUUAGCUGACGAGUCCCUAAUAGGACGAAAUGCACAUCCUGGAU
rnacentral:hammerhead_ribozyme from 1 species